rnacentral:rRNA from 1 species
CAGUAGCCGCGGUAAUACAGAGGGUGCGAGCGUUAAUCGGAUUUACUGGGCGUAAAGCGUGCGUAGGCGGCUUCUUAAGUCGGAUGUGAAAUCCCUGAGCUUAACUUAGGAAUUGCAUUCGAUACUGGGAAGCUAGAGUAUGGGAGAGGAUGGUAGAAUUCCAGGUGUAGCGGUGAAAUGCGUAGAGAUCUGGAGGAAUACCGAUGGCGAAGGCAGCCAUCUGGCCUAAUACUGACGCUGAGGUACGAAAGCAUGGUGAGCAAACAGGAUUAGAUACCCCAGUAGUCCCUGUCUCUUAUAC